UAUUUAUAUAAUAUAAAUAAUUAUAUUUAACUUCCAAUUAAAAAAUCUAAUAAAAUUAGUAUAAAU
rnacentral:tRNA from 1 species